GUUUAACAAAGUUGGUGUGUUUAAAAAAUUUUCUUGUACAAUUACAAAUUCCUGAAUUGUGAUUAUAAGGUUAACUUGCUCUUUUCUGUACUUUGUUGAUGAAAAAAGGGACACUUUAAAAUUUUAACAGCUGAAAGCAAGUUUGCUAUAGAAGAUGUAUAGUGAGAUGGAGGAAAAAAUGUCAAGAAAGAUAGCAGUAGAAGAAAGACACUUUUGAGAUGAAAAGAUUUUGUAUGUUUGUCUUGUUAGAAGGAUAAAGAGACAUACACAAGGCCAGGAGGCUUAGUGUUCAACAACUAAAGUUUGGGGACCAGAACAAGAAAGGUAACUGGGCUAAGAAGACAGCCAAUAUUUUGGCGCUGGCCCUUCAAGGUCUACAAAGACAUAAGAGAACCUUUUCUACAAGAACCUACAACUUUGGUAAGUCACCCAACCUCCUGAACAGGGAGGUUGUUGGAUACCAGACAGAUAAAAGUCAAAAGUAUGCCAAAUGAGUGUCACUCAUAGGGAAAAAUCUC
rnacentral:lncRNA from 1 species